rnacentral:pre_miRNA from 1 species
AAUAAAUCAAUUUUUCAAUUUUUAGAUAGGAUGUUUGAUUCUUUGUCUUAUUUAAAUUUUUUUAUGGUUAACAUUUUAUUGAUAUUACACGAUAACACAUGAAUAUAACUUUACAUGUGACUAAUAUUUUGUAUUUUUUAAUAUUUUUUUAAAUAAGACGGAUGAUCAAACGCUCGACGCAGAAAACCCAGAAAUUAUU